ensembl:lncRNA
ACUACUCAGUCAGAAGUGCACUACUUUGUGCAUUAUAUAGGGAAUAAGGCACCAUUUUGGACGCGAACUGGCACUACUUAACAAUGGAUUGAGGAUUCAAUUGGUUGAUAUUGGAACAGGUCUUUACAUGGUAAAGGUAGACAGUUAGGGGAACAAGUCUUUACAUGGUAAAGGUAGACAGUUAGGUGAACUCACUUCAUUCACAGGGGAACAAGUCUUUACAUGGUAAAGGUAGACAGUCAGGGGAACAAGCAUCACCCACCUGGAUAUGUACUGGACUACAGUAAGAUGACAAACACAGCAUCAAAUCAACUUUGGACAUUUUCUGUUAUUUUUAUAAAGAAAGUCCACUUUCUGUUUUCCGCCAGGGAUUGAUUGGACAUUGUGGGGACGACGCAGAGAGACUUUUGAGGAGUGGAACUGAAUGGAACAAACAGUAUUAACGAAACAAGACACCUUGGAAUCAUAGAUCAUGAAACAACACCAGGAGGACCUUUCUUUGGGCCCAGAGUGUUGUUUCAGGUGAAUGAAGAAGGAGAGGAGGAGGAAGAUGAGGAGGAGGAAGAUAUUUCUACAGUAUUAAGUAAUAAUGAGCUCAAUUCAAUCAAAUUCGCCUUCCGGUAUUUACGCAGUAGUUGUUUAUUUUACCCUUAGUCAAAUGAUCAAAUGACAUGACAGAAUAGUUAUAGGGGUGAUGUAAACACCUACCACUGACAGGUAGACUCCACGGCCAGGUAGACUCCACGGCCAGGUAGACUCCACGGCCAGGUAGACUCCACGGCCAGGUAGACUCCACGGACAGGUAGACUCCACGGACAGGUAGACUCCAUGGCCAGGUAGACACUACGGCCAGGUAGACACCACGGCCAGGUAGACACCACGGCCAGGUAGACACCACGGCCAGGUAGACACCACAGCCAGGUAGACUCCACAGCCAGGUAGACACCACAGCCAGGUAGACACCACAGCCAGGUAGACACCACAGCCAGGUAGACUCCACAGCCAGGUAGACACCACAGCCAGGUAGACUCCACAGACAGGUAGACACCACAGCCAGGUAGACUCCACAGCCAGGUAGACUCCACAGCCAGGUAGACACCACAUCCAGGUAGACUCCACAGCCAGGUAGACACCACAGCCAGGUAGACUCCACAGCCAGGUAGACUCCACGGACAGGUAGACUCCACGGACAGGUAGACUCCACGGCCAGGUAGACUCCACGGCCAGGUAGACUCCACGGCCAGGUAGACUCCACAGCCAGGUAGACACCACGGCCAGGUAGACACCACGGCCAGGUAGACUCCACGGCCAGGUAGACACCACGGCCAGGUAGACUCCACGGCCAGGUAGACUCCACGGCCAGGUAGACUCCACGGCCAGGUAGACUCCACAGCCAGGUAGACACCACAGCCAGGUAGACUCAAAUGGUUUAGACUCCACAGCCAGGUAGACUCAAAUGGUUUAGACUCCACAGCCAGGUAGACUCCACAGCCAGGUAGACUCCACAGCCAGGUAGACUCCACAGCCAGGUAGAUGCUUCCAGCUCACAGACGUUUGGGUACGUGAAGACACUGUGUAAACAUUUCUAAAUGCAAGUUUGCUUGAAUACCAGCCCAUGUGUCACUAUUGAAGAGGAAUUGGGAGAGGGGUUAAACAUCCCCACAGAGUUUAAUAAACAACAUCCAUCUGGUUUUGUAGUACUAUAUAGAUCUGUAACUAUCUUUUUUUAGUUUUCACUACAGACUUGUGACUUUGUCUCGUCCUACGGAUGGUUACAACAAAUUUAUUUUGUAUUGUAGUUUUUGUUUUGUUGUUUUUGUUAAAGCUGUGUUACUGUUUUAAUGUGUACAAUCAACUCAAGUCAAAUGGUUUACAGUUGACUUUACACCCCCCGUUAUCCACGUGUCACUCACUCCUCUGUCAUGUUUGUGUUCCUGCAGUCUCUCUCUCUAUUUAACUCUAUCAAUCCUUACUGGGUUGCUGGACUCUCGUCUUCUCAUUAUCUCAUAAUCAUAAGUGGGGCUAGGAGUAUUUCAUUUCCUGACCAUGUGACCUGACCAGGAGAAACUCUAAACUCCUAGCCCUAAUCCUCAGUACCAAGGCC